rnacentral:rRNA from 1 species
AUUGAACGCUGGCGGCAGGCUUAACACAUGCAAGUCGAGCGGGGAAAGGUAGCUUGCUACUGGACCUAGCGGCGGACGGGUGAGUAAUGCUUAGGAAUCUGCCUAUUAGUGGGGGACAACGUUCCGAAAGGAACGCUAAUACCGCAUACGCCCUACGGGGGAAAGCAGGGGAUCUUCGGACCUUGCGCUAAUAGAUGAGCCUAAGUCGGGUUAGCUAGUUGGUGGGGUAAAGGCCUACCAAGGCGACGAUCUGUAGCGGGUCUGAGAGGAUGAUCCGCCACACUGGGACUGAGACACGGCCCAGACUCCUACGGGAGGCAGCAGUGGGGAAUAUUGGACAAUGGGCGGAAGCCUGAUCCAGCCAUGCCGCGUGUGUGAAGAAGGCCUUUUGGUUGUAAAGCACUUUAAGCGAGGAGGAGGCUCCUUUAGUUAAUACCUAAAGUGAGUGGACGUUACUCGCAGAAUAAGCACCGGCUAACUCUGUGCCAGCCGCCGCCGUAACAC